rnacentral:misc_RNA from 1 species
UAAUAAGUGUUAUAUGGCACUUUUUAAAUCCAUAUCCACCUUGUGUGCAAUGUCAGUCGAUCUUCUUCAUGGAGAUCGACCAAACAUCAACCUUUAUCUUUUAACUCUUUGUCUUAAAAAUAUUAUGAAUAAACAAUUCAAAAUA